UGGGGAGUAUUGCACAAUGGGGAAAGACCCUGAUGCAGCAACGCCGCGUGAAGGAAGAAGGUCUUCGGAUUGUAAACUUCUGUCCUCAGGGAAGAUAAUGACGGUACCUGAGGAGGAAGCUCCGGCUAACUACGUGCCAGCAGCCGCGGUAAUACGUAGGGAGCGAGCGUUGUCCGGAUUUACUGGGUGUAAAGGGUGCGUAGGCGGAUCUGCAAGUCAGUAGUGAAAUCCCAGGGCUUAACCCUGGAACUGCUAUUGAAACUGUGGGUCUUGAGUGAGGUAGAGGCAGGCGGAAUUCCCGGUGUAGCGGUGAAAUGCGUAGAGAUCGGGAGGAACACCAGUGGCGAAGGCGGCCUGCUGGGCCUUAACUGACGCUGAGGCACGAAAGCAUGGGUAGCAAACAGGAUUAGAUACCC
rnacentral:rRNA from 1 species